rnacentral:rRNA from 1 species
UACAGGGGGUGCAAACGUUGCUCGGAAUCAUUGGGCGUAAAGCGCACGUAGGCGGUCUGUUAUGUCGGAUGUGAAAGCCCUUGGCUUAACUGGAGGAAGUGCAUCCGAAACUGGCAGGCUAGAGUACUAAAGAGGGUCGCGGAAUUCCCGGUGUAGAGGUGAAAUUCGUAGAUAUCGGGAGGAACACCAGUGGCGAAGGCGGCGAUCUGG